CCCGCACAAGCGGUGGAGCAUGUGGUUAAUUCGAAGCAACGCGAAGAACCUUACCAGGUCUUGACAUCCCUGACAACCCGAGAGAUCGGGCGUUCCCCCUUCGGGGGGACAGGGUGACAGGUGGUGCAUGGUUGUCGUCAGCUCGUGUCGUGAGAUGUUGGGUUAAGUCCCGCAACGAGCGCAACCCUCGACCUUAGUUGCCAGCAUUCAGUUGGGCACUCUAAGGUGACUGCCGGCUAAAAGUCGGAGGAAGGUGGGGAUGACGUCAAGUCAGCAUGGCCUUUAUGUCCAGGGCUACACACGUGCUACAAUGGUUGGUACAAAGGGUUGCCAAGCCGUGAGGCGGAGCCAAUCUCAAAAAGCCAACCUCAGUUCGGAUUGCAGUCUGCAACUCGACUGCAUGAAGUUGGAAUCGCUAGUAAUCGCUGAUCAGCAGGCAGCGGUGAAUACGUUCCCGGGCCUU
rnacentral:rRNA from 1 species